rnacentral:misc_RNA from 1 species
UGUUAAUAAGCUCUUGGUUGGUAACAAAUGUGAUUUAACCUCCAAGAGGGUGGUAUCCAAUGAAACUGCCAAGGUAUCGUAAUCUUCGAAUUUUAUCUUCUUUAUGUCAGUUUCGUGAUUCAAAACUUUAGAAGUUCCCUUCUUUCCUUUUCGUCCCUUUUUGAAGGCGUUUGCAGAUGAAAUUGGUAUCCCAUUCCUGGAAACGAGCGCCAAGAAUGCUACCAAUGUAGAG